ensembl:lncRNA
CAGAAAAAGAAGUAGCUAGUCAAAGUCAACUUGUGAAAAGUCUAAUGGGGACCACGCCAUUCUAUGAGCGAUCUGUGUUACCAUGUGGAAAUUGAGCGGGACUGGAAUUCCCCAAACUGAACUUUUGAACUAAGACAUCUUUUAUUCCUAGGCAUACCCUCAAGAGAUGUAAAAACAAGUCCACAUAAGAGCCCCUCAAAGAUAUGAGGAUCCUCUUGACUAGAAUUGAAUGAGAGAACGAACACAUAGUUAAUUUUGAAUUUCAGAUAAACAACAAAUAACUUCCAUGAUAUAGGUAUACCCCAAAUAUUGUGUAAGACAUAUGUAUACUAAAAAUUAUUAUUUAUAUAAUGUGAUGUCUUGUAAUUUUAUUUGCUAAAUCUGGCAGCUGUAUAUUGAUAGGACCCCAAACCCAUCUGUGGUUAGGAGUCUGGGAUUCUAAGAGCUCUAAUUAUAGGAAGCUGAGUCCAGAAGAUUCUGAGUUUGAUCUGCCAAGAGAGUCAAGGUUUUUUCUAGACACUGCAUGGAACUCUUCACCCUAGAAGAAAGCGGAGUGUGUGGGCCCUGGUAUCUCUUAAGAAGCAGAAAUCUAUUGCUUUGAGUUAGAGGAGAUCACUUUCUUCAGUCUGGUUUGAAGCAACCUCUCUCUGAGAAUUAUUUAUGGUGCUUCCUUAAAAUGCAUUCAUUGUUCACUAAAACAACAAAAGCCUGCUCUUCGUGCCCAGCUCCACUUCUGCUGGCAGAUCUUCCCUCUCAUUCACGUCUUCAUCAGACUUGACUAUGUCCUAGGCCUGUUCCAAGAGCUGGCCUGAUUUCAGUGGCACAAUGAUACAACUUGAAGGGUGACAUCAGCAAGACGGUGGAAUAGAAAGCUCCAUACCUUCCUUCCUCCUACAGAGACACUGACUUAACAACAAUACGUGGACCAACUUCCUUUAAGAGAAAUCCAGAAGCCAGUUAAGAGGCUCCUGCACCCCAGAUCAGCAUGAGACCACCUUCACGGAAGCUGGUAGGGAAAUUUGUGGCCCCUUCUCAUCAUACUUCCUUCCCCUGGCACAGUGCCAUGCAUUCAGGAGGGAACUCCCAGCUCCUGGCUUCUGCCUGGGGAUGGAAAGAGAAGACUAGACCAUAUGUUUAUCAUUCUGAAGUUUCUUGGUGGGGACUGUGAAGGUUCCGAGGAAGGAAAGGAAAAAGGUGUUAUGGUUGCAUCUAGGGCAGCUUAGCAGUGAAGGUCAAGUCAGGUUGAAGGCAAAGAGGAUGGAGAGAAUACUUCAGUAGUAUAUCAUUCACCAACUACACCACAUACCCUGCGCUCUGUGUCUUUGCUCAUGCUGUUCCCUCUGUCAGGAGUGAUUUUCCCUCUUUUCUGCCUCACUGAUUACUGAAAGGGCCAGGUUAAAUGUCACCUUUUCCAUAAAACCUUCCAUGCAUGAUGAUCUAAAGCAUCCUUAACUGGUUCCCCUUUCCCUAUAAGCUUGGGUAUUUUUCACAUCUUGACUAUAUAUGCUGUUAACUUUUUUAGAUUAUAUAGUAUUUAAUGUAUUGUGCUUGUUUCAUGGUUUCCCUUUUUUCCCAAACUUGCACGUGCCAAGAUUGAAAGCAAUCUUCCCACUUGCAAUUUAGAACACCAGCCAUGCUCCCCCACCCCAGCUCCCAGAAUGUC